AGAGUUUGAUCCUGGCUCAGGAUGAACGCUGGCGGCGUGCCUAAUACAUGCAAGUCGAGCGAACAGACGAGGAGCUUGCUCCUUUGACGUUAGCGGCGGACGGGUGAGUAACACGUGGGUAACCUACCUAUAAGACUGGGAUAACUUCGGGAAACCGGAGCUAAUACCGGAUAAUAUUUCGAACCGCAUGGUUCGAUAGUGAAAGAUGGCUUUGCUAUCACUUAUAGAUGGACCUGCGCCGUAUUAGCUAGUUGGUAAGGUAACGGCUUACCAAGGCAACGAUACGUAGCCGACCUGAGAGGGUGAUCGGCCACACUGGAACUGAGACACGGUCCAGACUCCUACGGGAGGCAGCAGUAGGGAAUCUUCCGCAAUGGGCGAAAGCCUGACGGAGCAACGCCGCGUGAGUGAUGAAGGUCUUCGGAUCGUAAAACUCUGUUAUUAGGGAAGAACAAACGUGUAAGUAACUGUGCACGUCUUGACGGUACCUAAUCAGAAAGCCACGGCUAACUACGUGCCAGCAGCCGCGGUAAUACGUAGGUGGCAAGCGUUAUCCGGAAUUAUUGGGCGUAAAGCGCGCGUAGGCGGUUUUUUAAGUCUGAUGUGAAAGCCCACGGCUCAACCGUGGAGGGUCAUUGGAAACUGGAAAACUUGAGUGCAGAAGAGGAAAGUGGAAUUCCAUGUGUAGCGGUGAAAUGGCGCAGAGAUAUGGAGGAACACCAGUGGCGAAGGCGACUUUCUGGUCUGUAACUGACGCUGAUGUGCGAAAGCGUGGGGAUCAAACAGGAUUAGAUACCCUGGUAGUCCACGCCGUAAACGAUGAGUGCUAAGUGUUAGGGGGUUUCCGCCCCUUAGUGCUGCAGCUAACGCAUUAAGCACUCCGCCUGGGGAGUACGACCGCAAGGUUGAAACUCAAAGGAAUUGACGG
rnacentral:rRNA from 1 species